rnacentral:rRNA from 1 species
AUGGUGCUCUACACAAUCAACUCCCAUGCCCAAAUCCAAGACCUGCAGGCCCACUCCGAUGAGCUGGGCCACUCCAAUAAUCCCAUGCUUGUGAAGCUUGUCUCUCUGGAGUCGGUGCGCAUAGCGCGCGAGUCGUAUGCACUCCUCCGCCCGCUGAUCAUGGACGUGAUGUUCUGGCCAUGCCCGGAGAUGGAAAUCCUCUUGGUCGUGGCAGGCUUGUCGCUGGAAAUCCAAAUGCUCGAGCGUGAUGUGUUACCCAAGCUCAUGGUUCAGGAGGCCAAGCUGGAACGGGGCGCCCUGCAAGCCCUCCUACUCAUGAAGAACUCAGCAAUUGCGCUCUCACAUCUGAGGAAGUGCUUUAAGUUAGCCUUGGGCGUAUUGGCCGAGGAGGAUCUGGUCUCACCCCGAGUCGAAAAGCUGAGCAUAAUGCUAGAGGAUACUGCUGUUCAUGUACUUGAAGGUAAUUGCAACAUGCUUCAGGAGUCUGUCCCGUUGCUGGUCCAGCAGGUCACCCAUGUGUUGGAGACCCCGGUUUGUUUCUCUGAUCCUGAUGAGUGGAAGAGUGAUGAUGAGUAG